GGGAGAGUGUCAGGUAGUCGACAGCUGACACUUUGUUCUUCACAUCGAAUUUCUAUGUAUGCAUAUCAUUUGUCUGGGUAUUUUGCUGAAACUCGAUUAUUUUUUUCUAAUGUGCAAUUGUUCCCGAUCACCCGUGAGGAGAGAAAGGAGUUUGGAGAGAAGAUUGAGGAGUCCUCAUAACAGCCAAAGCCUUAAGCGUUGUAGGGCUUCACCACCAGUAUUCAAUGGGAGGAGGCACGAUCAAUCCCCUGAAGGGAGGACCACAAGAGCGGUGUAACCUCUCCUUGCAUUGAAUAGUGAUUCAAUGAGCUAGAUCUCAAUUCAGAUUGUGACAGGAGAUAUCUCAUUACAAGGAACCCAAUCCAAUAGAGCAUUUGCUACUCUUAAAAGUUCUAUGUGAACUCCGAGCUCAAGUCCGUCCUUAAUUUUCAUAUAUUUUUUAUUUUUUCAUGUCUAGGCGGUUUACAUGGUUUUUAACCAUUAAAGCACCUAAAUUUAUGUUUACAAUUGCGUUGUUUUUUAUUGUUGAUAUCGAUUAAAACACUAUAUUUAGGUUAUUGGAUUAUGCUUAUAAGAGUAUGUUAACAUAUUCAUUUUGAUAAUUACCACUUGCUUUGAUACA